UACAGAGGUCUCAAGCGUUGUUCGGAUUCAUUGGGCGUAAAGCGCGUGUAGGCGGCUUUGCAAGUCGGGUGUGAAAGCCCUCAGCUCAACUGAGGAAGUGCGCCCGAAACUGCAGAGCUUGAGUGCCGGAGAGGGUGGCGGAAUUCCCCAAGUAGAGGUGAAAUUCGUAGAUAUGGGGAGGAACACCGGUGGCGAAGGCGGCCACCUGGACGGUAACUGACGCUGAGACGCGAAAGCGUGGGGAGCAAACAGG
rnacentral:rRNA from 1 species